AUGGCGAUCAGUGGUCGUGUUGAUGACCUUAGAAUUUGAAAUAUCUUGUGAUAUAGUAUUGAUCUGAGAUGCUCGCGGUAACCACCGUAAUAUAUAUAUAUAUUUUUAAAAUAAAAUUUUAUUUUACUGAAUAGAGCAUUGGUCCUGAAUUAAAUUUAUUAUUUUCUAUUUUUAAAAAAAAAGAGAAGGUGAUGAUGACAAUCUCGUGAGGGUUGGGUAAGCGAGUCCCCAUGCCCCAUAUCGCUGCUGCCAUAUGCAUGUUCCUACUUAGGCCAACCUC
rnacentral:lncRNA from 1 species